rnacentral:rRNA from 1 species
UACGUAGGGCGCAAGCGUUGUCCGGAAUCAUUGGGCGUAAAGAGCUCGUAGGUGGUCUGUUACGUCUGCUGUGAAAUCCUAGGGCUUAACCCUGGGCCUGCAGUGGAUAUGGGCAGACUAGAGGUAGGUAGGGGGAGAAUGGAAUUCCCGGUGUAGCGGUGAAAUGCGCAGAUAUCGGGAGGAACACCAAUGGCGAAGGCAGCUCGCUGGGACGUGACUGACGCUGAGACGCGAAAGCGUGGGGAGCAAACAGGG